GACGAACCGUGCAAACGUUGUUCGGAAUCACUGGGCUUAAAGGGCGCGUAGGCGGGUCUUCAAGUCUGGGGUGAAAUCUUUCGGCUUAACCGGAAAAGUGCCUCGGAUACUGGAGACCUCGAGGGAGGCAGGGGCGGAUGGAACUUCCGGUGGAGCGGUGAAAUGCGUUGAUAUCGGAAGGAACGCCGGUGGCGAAAGCGAUCCGCUGGACCUCUUCUGACGCUGAGGCGCGAAAGCCAGGGGAGCAAACGGG
rnacentral:rRNA from 1 species